CGCGUAGGCGGGAUGGCAAGUCGGUCGUGAAAUCCUUCGGCUCAACCGAAGAACGUCGAUCGAUACUGCUGUUCUUGAGGAUUGCAGAGGAGACUGGAAUUCCCGGUGUAGCGGUGAAAUGUGUAGAGAUCGGGAGGAACACCGGUGGCGAAGGCGGGUCUCUGGGCAAUUCCUGACGCUGGGGCGCGAAAGCGUGGGGAGCAAACGGGAUUAGAUACCCCGGUAGUCCACGCUGUAAACGAUGACGACUAGGUGUGGGGGGGUUCAGUCCCCUCCGUGCCGCAGCUAACGCAUUAAGUCGUCCGCCUGGGGAGUACGGCCGCAAGGUUGAA
rnacentral:rRNA from 1 species